rnacentral:lncRNA from 1 species
UGGAUUUCCCCACAGCUUUCUUUGAUAGUACCUUCGCCUUAGAGGCAGCGUGGUAAAAAAAAAAAAAGAGAGAAACUGUCAAAUGCGAAGAGCUCUAAAUUGCAGCCAGUCUAUUUUCCCAUAACAAUUGCUGUUGGCAGGUGGUCCCUCCAUCUUUUGAGGCAAUUUGUAGAGAAGAGGCAAAACAAAGAAUCUUGAUCCUGUGCCCAGGACAAAAGAAAGCAGAGUUUGUGACAGAAGUGGACUUGAAGAGGCUCAUCAUGACGUUCAGGUUCUGAGUGGAGCGGUGUAGCAUGUAGCAUAUCUCUCUUACACGCACGCACACACGCACACGCACACACACACACACGCACACACACAGUAAUCUGCUGCUAUCUAGUGGACUACAUUUACACCUGCAGCGCUUCUGGCAGAGUACAGAAACAGCUGCAAGGCUGCAAGUUUGACUCUGCACAGCUGCCUGUCCAGCAAUAGUUCCCAAAUGCUCUUCUUGAUGCCUAAACGACACUUAUUUUAACUUUACAAUUGUGGUGAUUAGGUGAGGGUUUUUUUCCCCUAAGAAAAGACACGGUUUAAUCAAAUUGUUCAGGUAAAUCGAGCAGCCGAAACGGAGAAGAAUGGAUGUAACCAAAGCCUACCUUCCCUCGGGCCCAUCCCAGGUCCGUGGUCGCGUCUGUUCAUCGCCUUUUCUUUAACCAGGACCAUCAAUAAACACCAAACCUGCGAUUUUUACAUCGAGCCCGGCCAGUGACACAGGUUCGGCAUCAGAACACAUCAGCCAACCGUAGAGCCGAACAGAACAGACACUGCCUGCAGACACCAACAACUACCAUUCCAGCCAUCUGCCAAAAUGGAUAUAGGGUUGCUGCCCAAGAUGGGUCAUGCUGGAGAAUCAGUAUCAUCUCUCUGCUCCGCCUCGCCCCUGUUUUUACAGCCGUGCUGCUGCGCCACAGCAGCGGUUAAAGCAGCGUGACUGUGAUUAAUAAGUCGUGAAGGCUUGGAUGUCAAAUCUCCAUGCAGCCUGCAGGUUAGUUUGGAAUGUGGCGACUUAUGUGUCUUCGGCGUCUGAUGCCACCAGUUCUGUAGAAUGAAU